rnacentral:rRNA from 1 species
UACGUAGGGGCCGAGCGUUGUCCGGAGUUACUGGGCGUAAAGCGCGCGCAGGCGGCUCGUCAAGCCUGACGUGAAAGCCCCCGGCUCAACCGGGGAGGGUCGUCGGGGACUGGCGGGCUUGAGGGCAACAGAGGCAUGUGGAACUCCCGGUGUAGCGGUGGAAUGCGUAGAGAUCGGGAAGAACACCCGUGGCGAAGGCGACAUGCUGGGUUGCACCUGACGCUGAGUUGCGAAAGUGUGGGGAGCAAACGGG